rnacentral:rRNA from 1 species
GGAUUAAAGCUUGCUUUAAUUGUCAGCUAAGUGGCGCACGGGUGAGUAAUAUAUAGGUAACGUGCCUUCAAGAUGGGGAUAACGUUUGGAAACGAACGCUAAGACCCGAUAUGCCUUUAUCCCAUAAGGGAGCAAGGGAAAUAUUUAUAGCUUGAAGAUCGGCCUGUACAGUAUCAGUUAGUUGGUGAGGUAAUGGCUCACCAAGACAAUGACGCUUAACUGGUUUGAGAGGAUGAUCAGUCACACUGGAACUGAGACACGGUCCAGACUCCUACGGGAGGCAGCAGUGGGGAAUAUUGCACAAUGGACGAAAGUCUGAUGCAGCAACGCCGCGUGGAGGAUGACACAUUUCGGUGCGUAAACUCCUUUUAUAUAGGAAGAUAAUGACGGUACUAUAUGAAUAAGCACCGGCUAACUCCGUGCCAGCAGCCGCGGUAAUACGGAGGGUGCAAGCGUUACUCGGAAUCACUGGGCGUAAAGAGAAUGUAGGCGGAUAAUUAAGUUUGAAGUGAAAUCCAAUGGCUCAACCAUUGAACUGCUUUGAAAACUGAUAAUCUAGAAUAUGGGAGAGGUAGAUGGAAUUUCUGGUGU